AAAGCGUGCGCAGGCGGUUGUGCAAGUCUGAUGUGAAAGCCCCGGGCUUAACCUGGGAACGGCAUUGGAGACUGCACGACUAGAGUGCGUCAGAGGGGGGUAGAAUUCCACGUGUAGCAGUGAAAUGCGUAGAGAUGUGGAGGAAUACCGAUGGCGAAGGCAGCCCCCUGGGAUGACACUGACGCUCAUGCACGAAAGCGUGGGGAGCAAACAGGAUUAGAUACCCUAGU
rnacentral:rRNA from 1 species